AAGGAACUGGCGCGAUUGCAGUGUUGUACUUCACAAGCGUUGUAACAAGAAGUUGACAAUUCCGUCAGAUGAUUUAUAUUUUUCACAGAAGAAUGGUAGGGAAGAUUUUUUUGAAGCCUCUCGAGAAUUUUUGUGUAACGUGAAGCAAAUUUCCUUAAAUUUUCAAAAGAACCCGUAGAAUCUUUCUCUCGUAAACGAAAAGAAAAUGUUCAAUGAAAUUUGGCGAUGGAUGAGUUUACUUGGUUCCUUUUUGCUUAGCAAGGUCCAAUUAGAAUCCGCGAAAUAUUUACUCGCCCCUCGAUGAGAUAAUUAUUAGUCCUCAAUAAAUUCCGACAGUAAAGCCCACUUUAUUGAUAAUGAAGCUACAAAGAAAAGAGGGGUGAGAGGGCAGUAGAGAAUGACUUACGGCACCGAUGACAAUCAAUUACCGGCGACUGAAAUAUUAAAUUAAUGGACGUCCGGUGUUUGCUGGCCAUUUGAUGAUGCAAACAGUGCUCACGUCGAUUUUAUAGGUUAGAUAAUUGCGUCAUGGAUGUCUCUUCAUUUACCGAAUGCAGUCCACCAUCGAAAGGCACCCAGGACACCGGUGAAAAUAGUUGAUAGUUCAAAUAUAGCGAUGUCAUUCAGCACUUUUGUAACGGAUUAAAUAGUGUAAAAGAAAAGAAGGACAAGGAAAUAAAAGGUCUAUGAUUCUGCAAAGAAAAUGGAAAUUUCGUCGUGUAUCUAACUUUUAAGUCUGCGCAGCGACUGAAACGUGUAAGUUAUCUUUUCGGCAGUUAUUUACAGUAUUUUGCACGUUUUAGAACUUCAGUAUGCUCAGAUUGGAUUUCCUUUAUCAUUCAAUUUUAAUUCAUCACUCACU
rnacentral:lncRNA from 1 species